rnacentral:rRNA from 1 species
GACGAAGGGGGCUAGCGUUGUUCGGAAUUACUGGGCGUAAAGCGCGUGUAGGCGGUUGCCCAAGUCGGGGGUGAAAGCCUUGAGCUCAACUCAAGAAAUGCACUCGGUACUGGGUGACUAGAGGACCGGAGAGGAUAGUGGAAUUCCCAGUGUAGUGGUGAAAUACGUAGAGAUUGGGAAGAACACCAGUGGCGACGGCGGCUAUCUGGACGGUUUCUGACGCUAAGACGCGAAAGCGUGGGGAGCAAACAGG